rnacentral:rRNA from 1 species
UACGUAGGUUGCGAGCGUUGUCCGGAUUUACUGGGCGUAAAGCGCGCGCAGGCGGUUCCGAAAGUCGAAUGUGAAAGCUCCUGGCCCAACUGGGAGAGGCCGUUCGAAACUUCGGAACUUGAAGGCGGGAGAGGCAGAUGGAAUUUCCGGUGUAGCGGUAAAAUGCGUAGAUACCGGAAGGAACACCAGUGGCGAAAGCGAUCUGCUGGCCCGCCCUUGACGCUCAGGCGCGAAAGCUAGGGGAGCGACCGGG